rnacentral:rRNA from 1 species
GAUGAACGCUGGCGGCAUGCCUAAUACAUGCAAGUCGAACGAGAGGAAGGAAAGCUUGCUUUUCUGAAUCUAGUGGCGAACGGGUGAGUAACACGUAGGUAACCUGCCCAUGUGCCCGGGAUAACUUCUGGAAACGGAUGCUAAAACCGGAUAGGUAGCAGACAAGCAUUUGACUGCUAUUAAAGUGGCCUUGGCCAUGAACAUGGAUGGACCUGCGGUGCAUUAGCUGGUUGGUGAGGUAACGGCCCACCAAGGCGACGAUGCAUAGCCGGCCUGAGAGGGCGGACGGCCACAUUGGGACUGAGACACGGCCCAAACUCCUACGGGAGGCAGCAGUAGGGAAUUUUCGUCAAUGGGGGGAACCCUGAACGAGCAAUGCCGCGUGAGUGAGGAAGGUCUUCGGAUCGUAAAGCUCUGUUGUAAGAGAAAAACGGCACUCAUAGGGAAUGAUGAGUGAGUGAUG